CACCAAUGUGACAGGUCAGUCUUUGAAAUGGUGUCUACUAAGAGAAUUUAGAUCAUGGCUGUUGCCUGAUCCUUCUUCCUAAGACCAAAGUAGAAUAAACAACAAGCUUCAACUGAAAUAAGAAAUCUAGAAUAUACUUCUAACAGUUUGUCUAAAGUGUUUUAUUUCCUUUUGUCAACUUGUACAAAAUCAAUCC